rnacentral:rRNA from 1 species
UACGGAGGAUGCAAGCGUUAUCCGGAAUGAUUGGGCGUAAAGCGUCCGCAGGUGGUAAUGUAAGUCUGCUGUUAAAGAGUCUAGCUCAACUAGAUAAGAGCAGUGGAAACUACAUAGCUAGAGUACGUUCGGGGCAGAGGGAAUUCCUGGUGUAGCGGUGAAAUGCGUAGAGAUCAGGAAGAACACCAGUGGCGAAGGCGCUCUGCUAGGCCGUAACUGACACUGAGGGACGAAAGCUAGGGGAGCGAAUGGG